rnacentral:rRNA from 1 species
UACGUAGGGGGCAAGCGUUGUCCGGAUUUAUUGGGCGUAAAGAGCGUGUAGGCGGCCUGACAGGUCUGCUGUGAAAACUCGAGGCUCAACCUCGAGAUGUCGGCGGAAACCGUCUGGCUAGAGUCCGGAAGAGGAGAGUGGAAUUCCUGGUGUAGCGGUGAAAUGCGCAGAUAUCAGGAAGAACACCUAUGGCGAAGGCAGCUCUCUGGGACGGUACUGACGCUGAGACGCGAAAGCGUGG